GACGGGGUUAGGCUUCCGGCGUGGGUUGUGUGGCCUCUCCCAGCUCCACGCGUUUCUGGGCGCCGGGCACUAGGCGAGCCGGCCGGGCUGGCGCGAGGCCGCAGGCGGGAAGAGUCCCCGGGGUCGGCCCCGAAGCGGCUCUGGAGGCAGUAGCCGGGGACGCCGAGGUCAGGGAGGAGGCGGAUCCGAGCGCGGUCCCGCAGGGCCCUGUCCGUUCUUCCGCCUCGGCCGGUCCCGUCAGGCCGCCUUUAAAUGCCCGGCGCCUCGCACCUGCUAACAAAACGAGCUCCUGCUGUUCCCCAGCUCCGUAAAUGGUGCCCCUGGCCCUCCCCAGUUCUCAGGCAGAGCCUUGGCGGCCUCCCUGACCCCUAACACCCCGCAUCCAGCCCGGCAGUACAUCCUGUUGGCUGUGCCUUCGAAAUUUCCCCAGACCUGACCUCUUCUCCCACCUCUGCCACCACCCUGCUCCGAGCCGUCUUUUCCCGCCGAGAUGACUGUAGUAGCGUCUCAGCUGGGUCUCCCCGCUUCCACCUUCCCCUCCUGAGUCUCCUCAACACAGGAGCCAGAGCGAUCUCGGAAAGUACAGGAGGUCAUGCCCCAGUGUGGUUCCCCUUUCCUGGGUUUAAGUCAAGGUCCUCACCGUGCCUGCCGGCCUCCCGGGUCUCUGCGCGGUGGACUCUGGACCUCCCUGCCCCGUCCUGCCUCAGGGCCUUUGCACCUGCUGUUACCGCGGCCUGGAACGCUCCUCCCCUGAAACCCUGUGACUCCCACUUAGUGAGGCGACCACCUGUUGAAAACCGUGCCCCCUUCCUAUACAGAUGCUCCUGUCAUAUGGGGUUAGAUUCCCCAUCAACCCAUCAUAGGUUAAAGCAUUGUAAGGCAAUUUACGGUAGGUUUAUCCGGAUGUAACCCCAUCUGUAAGCGGAGGAGUAUACUGAAUGUGUAUGGCGUUUGUACCAUGGCAAAGCCAAAAUGUAAGUCAAACUCGAAGUCCA
rnacentral:lncRNA from 1 species